rnacentral:rRNA from 1 species
AAACUGUUGUUUAUUAAAUUAAAUUGUGGUGCGAAUUGAAUCAUCUUAGUAACACUAAAAAAUAAAUCAAACGAGAUACUGUAAGUAAUAGCGAAUGAAAACAGUUUAGGCUUAAUAAUUUUAUAAAAAUUCUUUGAAUUAUAAAUUACCCAAGAAGGUUUAAGUCCUGUAAAAGUAAAAAAAAUUAUAACUUUAAGUACUACGAGUAACUUGUAUGAAUAUGGGAGAACCGCCUUCCAAGCCAAAACAACUUUUUUAACCUAUAGUGUACGAGUACCGUGAGGGAAAGAUGAAAAAUUCCGUUUAGGAUUAAAUUAAAAUUAAAAGUUUAAAUUGAAUGCUUUACUUUUUGAAGUUUUAUUAAACCCAAAAAAUAACAAAAUGCCUUUUGCAUAAUGAAUCAGUAAGUUAAUAUAAUAUAGCAAGCUUAAGUAAUUGUAUAAAGGCGUAAUUUAAGUUAUAUUUAUUAAACCUGAAGUCAAGUGAUCUAACUUUAAACAGGUUAAAAAUUCAGUAAUAUGUUUUAGAAGACCGAACUCGUGUAUGUAGCAAAAUACUGAGACGAUUUAUAGUUAGGGAUGAAAGAUCAAUCAAACUUGACGAUAGCCGGUUUUUCACGAAAUGUAUUUAAGUACUACGUCAAUAAAAAGUAAAUUGUAUGUAUAGUAAAAAUUAAGUGAGGAGGAAUUUAUUUACUAAACUUAGUUUAACUUCAAAUUAUAGUUUAAUUGUAUAUUGAUAGACAGUCUUUAGGCGAUAAGGUUUAAAGACAAAAAGGAAACAACCUAAAUCAUUUGUUUAAGGUCUUGAAAUUAUAAUUUAGUGUAGAAAAUCUUUAUAUGAGACAAAUAACUUAAAUAGGCUUAGAAGCAGUCUUUUAUUGGAGAAAGCGUUUUAGCUCAUUAUUACUCUACAAAGAUUUAAAAUAAAGGAGGCUUAAAGUUAUAUACCGAAACAAUGAAUCAGUUUUUGCUGAUAGUAGUGAAACGCUCUGUAAAUUAUAUUAUUAAUGAAAAUUAAAUAAAAUUUAAUCAGAAUUGCUAAUGCUGAUAUGAGUAACGUAAACUAUGUGUACUAAAAUCAUAGUCACCUAUUACUAAAAGAUUUUCAACAUAAUUUUAAGUAUGUUGAGUUAGUCGGUCCUUAAGAAAAGAGCGAAAGCUGCAUUUGAAAGGUAUUUAUUCCAGUUGUAUACAACAAGUUAAAAAUUGUUGUGUGUAGUUUAUAAAAAAUAACAAAAUUCUUCUGGUUAAAAAUUAUUGUUUUUAUUUUUAUAAAACUCAAGAAAAAUUUGCAACAGUUAAAUAUAUUGACCGUAUUUAAUCCGACACAGGUAAGUAAGUAGAAGAUACUAAGGUGAAUGGGAGAAUUAAGUUUAAGGAACUUGGCAAAUUUUCUUUGUAAGUUCGCGAUAAAAAGUGUCAUGUUUUGUAACAUGAUAUCAUAGAAUAAAAAGUAACGACUGGUUAUCAAAACCACAAGACUCUGCUAAUUAGUUAAUAAAAUGUAUAGAGUUUGACGCCUGCCCAGUGCUUAAAAAUAAAUUAAUAUAUGUUUAUGCUUAUAUUAUAAUUAUAAGUAAACGGCGGUUCUAACUAUAAGAAUCCUUAGGUAGCGAAAUUCCUUGACGGGUAAAUUCCGUCCUGCAUGAAUGGUGUAACGAUUGCUUUACUGUCUCUAACUUAAAUCCAGUGAAAUUACAUUACCUAUGAAAAUGUAGGUAUUUUGCAGUAAGACGGAAAGACCCUAGAUCCUUUACUUUAAUUUUGUAUUGAAAAAAUUUACUGUUUUAUGUAGUUUAUAAGUGGAAAUACUAAAAAAUAUUUAAAUGAAAUACCACUUGAAACAUUAAUUUCUUCUUUAUUUAUUUUUAGAAAAAUAAGACAGUACAAAGCCGAAAGUUUACUUGGGAUGAGGACCUCCUAAAAUGUAACGGAGGUGUACAAAAAUAAGUUUUAGUUAUUUUUACUUUGUAAAUUAAAUAACUAAAUGUGUAAUGACAACAAAUUUAUUUGACAACAAGAUUGAUAAAUCGAGUUGAGAUGAAAGUCGGUCAUAGUGAUCCGGUAAAUAUGUGUGGAAGUUUUACCGCUCAACAAAUAAAAGGAACUCUAGGGAUAACAGAUUCAUCAUGGUUAAAAGAUCUUAUUGAUGCCAUGGUUUGAUACCUCGAUGUCGACUCAUCUUAUCCUGGACUUGAAGCAGAUUCCAAGGGUCUAGUUGUUCGCUAGUGAAGAAGGUACGUGAGUUGGGUUCAGAACGUCGUGAGACAGUUCGGUCCCUAUCUGCUGUAAGUAAGAAAAGAUAAAAAAUUUAUUUUUAGUACGAGAGGAUCAAAAUAAAUUAACCACUAGUCCAUUGAUUGUUAAUGCCAAUAGCACGUCAAUUAGCUACGUUAGUAUUAGUUUAUACACUGAAAGAAUUAAUUGUGUAAAAACAUAUUUUUCCUUUUCAAGAACAACCUAAGAGAUUAUUAGCUAGAUCGGUUUACAAUAUUUUUUAGUAAUAAAAAUUGUAAUUAAAUACGAAUAUUGUUCAUAAAUAAA